CUCUACAACUGAAUCUUAUGCCAAUAAGGGU
rnacentral:piRNA from 1 species